rnacentral:rRNA from 1 species
UACGUAGGGUGCAAGCGUUGUCCGGAAUUACUGGGCGUAAAGGGCGCGUAGGCGGUUCGUUAAGUCCUGUGUGAAAUCCCCCGGCUCAACUGGGGAACUGCACAGGAAACUAGCGGGCUUGAGUUCGGGAGAGGGAAGCGGAAUUCCGGGUGUAGCGGUGAAAUGCGUAGAUAUCCGGAGGAACACCGGUGGCGAAGGCGGCUUCCUGGACCGACACUGACGGCUGAGGCGCGAAAGCUAGGGGAGCAAACGGG